rnacentral:rRNA from 1 species
CUGCUGCCUCCCGUAGGAGUCUGGUCCGUGUCUCAGUCCCAAUGUGGCCGUCCACCCUCUCAGGCCGGCUAUGGAUCGUCGGUUUGGUGGGCCGUUACCCCGCCAACUGCCUAAUCCAACGCGGACCCAUCCUAUGCCGCCUCAGCUUUUCACACCGUACCAUGCGGUACUGUGCGCUUAUGCGGUAUUAGCACCCGUUUCCGGAUGUUAUCCCCCUGCAUAGGGCAGGUUGUCCACGCGUUACUCACCCGUCCGCCGCUAACG